rnacentral:misc_RNA from 1 species
UCUCCGUUGGUGAACCAGCGGAGGGAUCAUUACCGAGUUUACAACUCCCAAACCCCUGUGAACAUACCUGUUUUGUUGCUUCGGCGGUGCCCUCGCUCUCGCGGCGAGGCCCGCCAGAGGACCCAAACAAACUCUUUGACCUUGAUCUAGGAUUAUACUUCUGAGUGAUACAAAAAAUAAAAUCAAAACUUUCAACAACGGAUCUCUUGGUUCUG